rnacentral:misc_RNA from 1 species
GUACAUUAGUGCUUGCGCACGACAAUAGUUUUCAUUACAUUCGAGUGUGUAAAAAUCCUCUACCAGCCGAAGCUAGCAAGAGGCCAAAGGUUCACAGGGGUAUUGGAAUGAAAGCCACCGACGUGCACUUGCAGGAGCCAGCACAGAAGGCAACAGUUUACAAUCAAUAAUGAUCCUUCCGCAGGUUCACCUACGGAAA